GUUCCCUGUAACCAGAAAUCGCCGAUACGCUGGGGUCGAAUUUGAGAGGCGGUGUAACGAGUAUCUCGUGAUCCGUUUGUUGCCUAUGACACCUUGUCCUUUGGGAUCAGAGGUGAUAACCGCAUAUGACCGGAGGGUUAUAUGUUUAUCUUAACUGUGGGUACCGGGUGAGGCACGGAAGUGAGCAGCCUUACCACAGACUGCCGAUGCUCAGAGGGUUAACGGGGUUGAGAAUGCAGAUGGGUAGUCAC
rnacentral:misc_RNA from 1 species